AGUGAACGCUGGCGGUAGGCCUAACACAUGCAAGUCGAACGGCAGCACAGUAAGAGCUUGCUCUUACGGGUGGCGAGUGGCGGACGGGUGAGGAAUACAUCGGAAUCUACUUUUUCGUGGGGGAUAACGUAGGGAAACUUACGCUAAUACCGCAUACGACCUACGGGUGAAAGCAGGGGAUCUUCGGACCUUGCGCGAUUGAAUGAGCCGAUGUCGGAUUAGCUAGUUGGCGGGGUAAAGGCCCACCAAGGCGACGAUCCGUAGCUGGUCUGAGAGGAUGAUCAGCCACACUGGAACUGAGACACGGUCCAGACUCCUACGGGAGGCAGCAGUGGGGAAUAUUGGACACAGGGCGCAAGCCUGAUCCAGCCAUACCGCGUGGGUGAAGAAGGCCUUCGGGUUGUAAAGCCCUUUUGUUGGGAAAGAAAAGCAGCAGGUUAAUACCCCGCUGUUCUGACGGUACCCAAAGAAUAAGCACCGGCUAACUUCGUG
rnacentral:rRNA from 1 species